GGAAGUGGGGAUGACGUCAAAUCAUCAUGCCCCUUAUGACCUGGGCUACACACGUGCUACAAUGGGCGGUACAAAGGGCUGCGAACCCGCGAGGGGGAGCGAAUCCCAAAAAGCCGCUCUCAGUUCGGAUUGCAGGCUGCAACUCGCCUGCAUGAAGCCGGAAUCGCUAGUAAUCGCGGAUCAGCAUGCCGCGGUGAAUACGUUCCCGGGCCUU
rnacentral:rRNA from 1 species